UAUACGACUCUCGGCAACAGAUAUCUCGGCUCUCGCAUCGAUGAAGAACGUAGUAAAAUGCGAUACUUGGUGUGAAUUGCAGAAUCCCGUGAACCAUCGAGUCUUUGAACACAAGUUGUGCCCGAGGCCUUUCGAUUGAGAGCACGCCUGCCUGGGUGUCACAC
rnacentral:rRNA from 1 species